rnacentral:rRNA from 1 species
GACGAACGCUGGCGGCGUGCUUAACACAUGCAAGUCGAACGGUGAAGCGAGUGCUUGCACUCGUGGAUCAGUUGCGAACGGGUGAGUAACACGUGAGUAACCUGCCCAUCACUCAGGGAUAAGCACUGGAAACGGUGUCUAAUACUGGAUACGACCAACCCUUGCAUGGGGUGUUGGUGGAAAGAUUUAUCGGUGAUGGAUGGACUCGCGGCCUAUCAGCUUGUUGGCGGGGUAAUGGACCACCAAGGCGACGACGGGUAGCCGGCCUGAGAGGGUGACCGGCCACACUGGGACUGGGACGCGGCACAGACUCCUACGGGAGGCAGCAGUGGGGAAUAUUGCACAAUGGGCGAAAGGCUGAUGCAGCGACGCCGCGUGAGGGAUGACGGCCUUCGGGUUGUAAAGCUCUGUCAGCAGAGAAGAAGCGAAAGUGACGGUACCUGCAGAAGAAGCACCGGCUAACUACGUG